UACGUAGGCAGCGAGCGUUGUUCGGAGUUACUGGGCGUAAAGAGUGCGUAGGCGGUUUUCUAAGUUUGGUGUGAAAUCUCCCCGGCUCAACUGGGAGGGUGCGCCGAAGACUGGAAGACUAGAGUGUGGGAGAGGUAAGCGGAAUUCCUGGUGUAGCGGUGAAAUGCGUAGAUAUCAGGAGGAACACCUGCGGUGUAGACGGCUUACUGGACCACCACUGACGCUGAGGCACGAAAGCGUGGGUAGCAAACAGG
rnacentral:rRNA from 1 species